rnacentral:rRNA from 1 species
UACGUAGGGGGCAAGCGUUGUCCGGAUUUAUUGGGCGUAAAGAGCGUGUAGGCGGCCGCACAGGUCCGUUGUGAAAACUGGAGGCUUAACCUUCAGACGUCGAUGGAAACCGUGCGGCUAGAGUCCGGAAGAGGAGAAUGGAAUUCCUGGUGUAGCGGUGAAAUGUGCAGAUAUCAGGAAGAACACCCGUGGCUAAGGCGGUUCUCUAGUACGGUACUGACGCUGAGACGCGAAAGCGUGGGGAGCGAACAGG